rnacentral:rRNA from 1 species
UGGGGAAUUUUGGACAAUGGGCGAAAGCCUGAUCCAGCAAUGCCGCGUGUGUGAAGAAGGCCUUCGGGUUGUAAAGCACUUUUGUCCGGAAAGAAAUCCUUGGCUCUAAUACAGUCGGGGGAUGACGGUACCGGAAGAAUAAGCACCGGCUAACUACGUGCCAGCAGCCGCGGUAAUACGUAGGGUGCAAGCGUUAAUCGGAAUUACUGGGCGUAAAGCGUGCGCAGGCGGUUUGCUAAGACCGAUGUGAAAUCCCGGGCUCAACCUGGGAACUGCAUUGGUGACUGGCAGGCUAGAGUAUGACAGAGGGGGGUAGAAUUCCACGUGUAGCAGUGAAAUGCGUAGAGAUGUGGAGGAAUACCGAUGGCGAAGGCAGCCCCCUGGGCCAAUACUGACGCUCAUGCACGAAAGCGUGGGGAGCAAACAGGAUUAGAUACCCUGGUAGUCCACGCCCUAAAACGAUGUCAACUAGUUGUUGGGGAUUCAUUUCCUUAGUAACGUAGCUAACGCGUGAAGUUGACCGCCUGGGGAGUACGGUCGCAAGAUUAAAACUC